rnacentral:rRNA from 3 species
AUAAACUAUGCCUGCCAGCGAUCCGCCGAAGUUCCUCCGAUGACUCGGCGGGCAGCUUCCGGGAAACCAGAGCUUUUGGGUUCCGGGGGAAGUAUGGUUGCAAAGCUGAAACUUAAAGGAAUUGACGGAAGGGCACCACCAGGAGUGGAGCCUGCGGCUUAAUUUGACUCAACACGGGAAAACUCACCAGGCCCGGACACCGGAAGGAUUGACAGAUUGAGAGCUCUUUCUUGAUUCGGUGGGUGGUGGUGCAUGGCCGUUCUUAGUUGGUGGAGCGAUUUGUCUGGUUAAUUCCGAUAACGAACGAGACUCUAGCCUACUAACUAGGCGUACCCGGUAUCCACAAUCGUGCUACCGGCGAUCAAAUUUCUUCUUAGAGGGACAGGCGGCUUCUAGCCGCACGAGACUGAGCAAUAACAGGUCUGUGAUGCCCUUAGAUGUCCUGGGCCGCACGCGCGCUACACUGAAGGAAUCAGCGUGUCUUCCCUGUCCGAAAGGACCGGGUAACCCGCUGAACCUCCUUUGUGCUAGGGAUUGGGGCUUGCAAUUGUUCCCCAUGAACGAGGAAUUCCCAGUAAGCGCGAGUCAUAAGCUCGCGUUGAUUACGUCCCUGCCCUUUGUACACACCGCCCGUCGCUACUACCGAUUGAAUGAUUUAGUGAGGUCUUCGGACUGGUACGCGGGGCCGCUCCCGCGGUCCCCGAUGUUGCCGGAAAGAUGACCAAACUUGAUCAUUUAGAGGAAGUAAAAGUCGUAACAAGGUUU